GACGAACGCUGGCGGCGUGCUUAACACAUGCAAGUCGAACGGAAAGGCCCUGCUUUUGUGGGGUGCUCGAGUGGCGAACGGGUGAGUAACACGUGAGUAACCUGCCCUUGACUUUGGGAUAACUUCAGGAAACUGGGGCUAAUACCGGAUAGGAGCUCCUGCUGCAUGGUGGGGGUUGGAAAGUUUCGGCGGUUGGGGAUGGACUCGCGGCUUAUCAGCUUGUUGGUGGGGUAGUGGCUUACCAAGGCUUUGACGGGUAGCCGGCCUGAGAGGGUGACCGGCCACAUUGGGACUGAGAUACGGCCCAGACUCCUACGGGAGGCAGCAGUGGGGAAUAUUGCACAAUGGGCGGAAGCCUGAUGCAGCAACGCCGCGUGCGGGAUGACGGCCUUCGGGUUGUAAACCUCUUUCGCCUGUGACGAAGCGUGAGUGACGGUAAUGGGUAAAGAAGCACCGGCUAACUACGUG
rnacentral:rRNA from 1 species